rnacentral:lncRNA from 1 species
UUUAUCCUAAAGCCUCGGUCACACCUUACCGGAUAGCUCGAACGGACGCCUAACGGAUAACUUUUUUUCAAUCCGUUAGACGUCCGUCCAUAUCCGUUGCAUGUCCGUUAAGCGUCCGUUUUAUCCGUUGCAUGUCCGUUAAGCGUCCGUUUUAUCCGUCGACGUCCGUUCUGUCCGGUAGAAAAUUUUGAGCAUGUUCAAAACUUUGAACGGACGUCUAACGGAUAAAAUGUCCGUUGAACGUCCGUUAGACGUCCGUUAGGCGUCCGUUUGUACGGUACUCGUCCGUUUCGUUUCGUUUUUGUUAUCCGUUACGUGUCCGUUAUACAUCCGUUGGAGGUCUGGCAGAUAAAUUCACCAACGGACUUCUAACGGACGUCUAACGGAUAAAACGG